rnacentral:rRNA from 1 species
GACGAACGCUGGCGGCGUGCUUAACACAUGCAAGUCGAACGGUAAGGCCCUUCGGGGUACACGAGUGGCGAACGGGUGAGUAACACGUGGGUGAUCUGCCCUGCACUUCGGGGUAAGACGGGGAAACUGGGUCUAAUACCGGAUAGGACCACUGCCUGCAUGGGUGGGGGUGGAAAGCUUUUGCGGUGUGGGAUGGGCCCGCGGCCUAUCAGCUUGUUGGUGGGGUGAUGGCCUACCAAGGCGACGACGGGUAGCCGGCCUGAGAGGGGGACCGGCCACACUGGGACUGAGAUACGGCCCAGACUCCUACGGGAGGCAGCAGUGGGGAAUAUUGCACAAUGGGCGCAAGCCUGAUGCAGCGACGCCGCGUGAGGGAUGACGGCCUUCGGGUUGUAAACCUCCUUCAGCACCGACGAAGCGCAAGUGACGGUAGGUGCAGAAGAAGGACCGGCCAACUACGUGCCAGCAGCCGCAGUAA